GAACCAGCCAUGCCGCGUGCAGGAAGACAGCCCUCUGGGUCGUAAACUGCUUUUAUUCGGGAAUAAACCUUAUUACGUGUAAUAAGCUGAAUGUACCGAAGGAAUAAGGAUCGGCUAACUCCGUGCCAGCAGCCGCGGUAAUACGGAGGAUCCAAGCGUUAUCCGGAUUUAUUGGGUUUAAAGGGUGCGUAGGCGGCUUAUUAAGUCAGGGGUGAAAGACGGUGGCUCAACCAUCGCAGUGCCUUUGAUACUGAUGAGCUUGAAUGAACUAGAGGUAGGCGGAAUGUGACAAGUAGCGGUGAAAUGCAUAGAUAUGUCACAGAACACCGAUUGCGAAGGCAGCUUACUAUGGUUUUAUUGACGCUGAGGCACGAAAGCGUGGGGAUCAAACAGGAUUAGAUACCCUGGUAGUCCACGCCCUAAACGAUGAAUACUCGCUGUUAGCGAUAUACAGUUAGCGGCUAAGCGAAAGCGUUAAGUAUUCCACCUGGGGAGUACGCCCGCAAGGGUGAAACUCAAAGGAAUUGACGG
rnacentral:rRNA from 1 species